ACUACGGGUCGCAGCAGUGGGGAAUAUUGCACACUGGGGGAAACCCUGAUGCAGCGACGCCGCGUGAGUGAAGAAGUAUCUCGGUACGUAAAGCUCUAUCAGCAGGAAAGAAAAUGACGGUACCUGACUAAGAAGCCCCUGCUAACUACGUGCCAGCAGCCGCCGUAAUAAGUAGGGGGCAAGCGUUAUCCAGAUUUACUGGGUGUAAAGGGAGCGUAGACGGCGCUGCAAGUCCGGAGUGAAAGCCCAUGGCUUAACCAUGGUACUGCUCUGGAAACUGGAGAGCGUGAGUGCGGGAGGGGCAGGCGGAAUUCCUAGUGUAGCGGUGAAAUGCGUAGAUAUUAGGAGGAACACCGGCGGCGAAGGCGGCCUGCUGGACCGUAACUGACGUUGAGGCUCGAAAGCGUGGGGAGCAAACAGGAUUAGAUACCCCUGUAGUC
rnacentral:rRNA from 1 species